UACAGAGGGUGCGAGCGUUAAUCGGAAUUACUGGGCGUAAAGCGUGAGUAGACGGUUAUGUAAGUCGGGUGUGAAAGCCCCGGGCUCAACCUGGGAAUUGCAUUCGAGACUGCAUAGCUAGGGUGCGGAAGAGGGAAGCGGAAUUUCCGGUGUAGCGGUGAAAUGCGUAGAUAUCGGAAGGAACACCAGUGGCGAAAGCGGCUUCCUGGUCCAGCACCGACGUUCAGGCACGAAAGCGUGGGGAGCAAACAGG
rnacentral:rRNA from 1 species